rnacentral:rRNA from 1 species
GACGAACGCUGGCGGCGUGCCUAAUACAUGCAAGUUGAGCGCUGAAGGUUGGUACUUGUACCAACUGGAUGAGCAGCGAACGGGUGAGUAACGCGUGGGGAAUCUGCCUUUGAGCGGGGGACAACAUUUGGAAACGAAUGCUAAUACCGCAUAAAAACUUUAAACACAAGUUUUAAGUUUGAAAGAUGCAAUUGCAUCACUCAAAGAUGAUCCCGCGUUGUAUUAGCUAGUUGGUGAGGUAAAGGCUCACCAAGGCGAUGAUACAUAGCCGACCUGAGAGGGUGAUCGGCCACAUUGGGACUGAGACACGGCCCAAACUCAUACGGGAGGCAGCAGUAGGGAAUCUUCGGCAAUGGACGAAAGUCUGACCGAGCAACGCCGCGGGAGUGAAGAAGGUUUUCGGAUCGUAAAACUCUGUUGGUAGAGAAGAACGUUGGUGAGAGUGGAAAGCUCAUCAAGUGACGGUAACUACCCAGAAAGGGACGGCUAACUACGUG